rnacentral:misc_RNA from 1 species
UCCGGCUUGACGCCGGCAGUCCCCCGAGAGUCCUCAGCUUGACCUGUUAGUAACACGGGGCAAGGGUUGCGCUCGUUGCGGGACUUAACCCAACAUCUCACGACACGAGCUGACGACAGCCGUGCAGCAUCUGUGGCGCACCCUCGAAGGUCACACGUUUCCGUGCGCUUGCAGCGCCAUGUCAAGCCCAGGUAAGGUUCUUCGCGUUGCAUCGAAUUAAAGAACAUGCUCCGCUGCUUGUGCGGGCCCCCGUCAAUUCCUUUGAGUUUUAGCCUUGCGGCCGUACUCCCCAGGCGGAACACUUAUCGCGUUGGCUGCGGCACGGAGAGAUUCGACUUCCCCCACACCUAGUGUUCAUCGUUUACGGCUAGGACUAC